rnacentral:rRNA from 1 species
UGGGGAAUUUUGGACAAUGGGCGAAAGCCUGAUCCAGCCAUGCCGCGUGCAGGAUGAAGGCCUUCGGGUUGUAAACUGCUUUUGUACGGAACGAAAAGCCUCUUUCUAAUAAAGAGGGGUCAUGACGGUACCGUAAGAAUAAGCACCGGCUAACUACGUGCCAGCAGCCGCGGUAAUACGUAGGGUGCAAGCGUUAAUCGGAAUUACUGGGCGUAAAGCGUGCGCAGGCGGUUUUGUAAGACAGAGGUGAAAUCCCCGGGCUCAACCUGGGAACUGCCUUUGUGACUGCAAGGCUGGAGUGCGGCAGAGGGGGAUGGAAUUCCGCGUGUAGCAGUGAAAUGCGUAGAUAUGCGGAGGAACACCGAUGGCGAAGGCAAUCCCCUGGGCCUGCACUGACGCUCAUGCACGAAAGCGUGGGGAGCAAACAGGAUUAGAUACCCUGGUAGUCCACGCCCUAAACGAUGUCAACUGGUUGUUGGGUCUUCACUGACUCAGUAACGAAGCUAACGCGUGAAGUUGACCGCCUGGGGAGUACGCCGCAAGGUUGAAACUUAAAUGAAUUGACGGGGUCAAUAGCUGUUUCCU